rnacentral:snoRNA from 1 species
GAGAGCGGUCAAUGAUGGUUUUAACCCAAAAUGUCUGAACCUGUCUGAAGCAUCUCUUUGAUGCAAUCUUUUUGUUGCUCUGAGACCUCUCUGAGA